rfam:Saccharothrix sp. ALI-22-I Contig40, whole genome shotgun sequence.
GGGGGUGAACGGUUUCGACUUUGUGCGUUGAUUCAAGGGAAGCGUGCCGGUGCAGGCGAGAGACCACCGUAAGCGUCAUCGCAAACCAAUAAGCGCCGAGUCUAACGACCGCGCCGCGUACGCCCUCGCCGCCUGAGGCUAGGGAUUACGCUGUCGGCCCGGGGGCGCCUCCGCCCCGGUCGCCGGCAUCAGCUAGGAGGCUCACCGCCGUCCCCGGCCACGGGGAACGGUCGGGACACCCACAGUGGCUGGGCUCAUCACGGUGACUUGUCCGCGUGAUCACCGGGGCCGAGUAGAGAUGUAGCGGACUGCGCACGGAGAAGCCUUGAUGAUGCGGCAGAGGACCCGGGUUCGAUUCCCGGCACCUCCACCA